AGAUCCCUUAAAGAUAAUGAGGUAGAUAGGUUGGAGGUGUAAGCACGGUAACGUGUUCAGCUGACCAAUACUAAUAGAUCGAGGGCUUGACCUA
rnacentral:rRNA from 1 species